GUCAUUGCGGCGACCGUGGAGACUUUUAAAAUAGAGGCCAACAUGACCGGGCAAGAAGAGCAGGGUCCUUCCUUCAGGUGUUUGGGACUCAACUGAGGGUGUAGGUGCCCCGCGGUGGGGGCUGAACCUUCCUGGGCUGUGGAGAGACGAAAGGAGCCCAGAUCCAAGUUCCUUCGUUCCCGCUUUGGCACAAGUUGCCCGGGCGGUCUCAUGAGAGAGAGAGAGAGCUGGGACCCUCCUGGCCCCAGUGAGUGUGGUGUCUUGCUCCGGGUGUCCUGGGGCAACUUUCUAUAUAAAGGCGGGACGUAGGAGGAUGAGACAGUUAAUGUGAGACAAGGAUGUUGACUGUGCAGCACAGAACCAGUAGUUUGUAGAGAAGAACCAGGUGUGGUGUUGAAUCUGCUAGACAGGCUACUGAAGCAAAAGUCAAGAGAUCCAGAUCCCAUCAUGGGGACACUUUAGAUUGAUACCGGAAAAGCCAUUUCCUAUUGAGCCCAAAAUGAAGAGAGUGCAAAUAAAGAGAAGGCAGGAAUGACAAGCCCUUGACAGACACAUUGCCACCUACAGGACCCUGCACCCAGAUUUCAUCUGCACAAUCAGCUUCUUCAAAGAGAGAGAGGCUGUCGAGUUAGUACCCAUGAGGGCACAAUACUAGAAAUGUGUAAAACUGUAAGUUUUUAAGUCCUAGAAAGUCAUCAUCUAUAAAGGAGACUUUUGGGUAUGCUUUGGGGAGGUUAAGCAGUAGAAUCCCAUUUCUGCUCCUUAUUAGAUGAGUCUGAAAAAAUUGAUUUUCCAUGAGUGAGUUUGAUUUUGUCAUCUGUAAAAUGAGA